rnacentral:rRNA from 1 species
GACGAACGCUGGCGGCGUGCUUAACACAUGCAAGUCGAACGGUGAAGCGCCUUCCUUUUUGGUGGGUGUGGAUGAGUGGCGAACGGGUGAGUAACGCGUGAGUAACCUGCCCCCUUCUUCUGGAUAACCGCAUGAAAGUGUGGCUAAUACGGGAUAUUCUGGGUCUGUCGCAUGAUGGGUCUGGGAAAGAUAUUGUUUCGGUGGGGGAUGGGCUCGCGGCCUAUCAGCUUGUUGGUGGGGUGAUGGCCUACCAAGGCGGUGGCGGGUAGCCGGCCUGAGAGGGUGGCCGGUCACACUGGGUCUGAGGCACGGCCCGGACUCCUACGGGACGCAGCAGUGGGGAGUAUUGCACAAUGGGCGCAAGUCUGAUGCAGCGACGCCGCGUGAGGGAUGGAGGCCCUCGGGUUGUGAACCUCUUUCGCCAGUGAAGCAGGCCUGCCUCGUUUGUGGGUGGGUUGACGGUAGCUGGAUAAGAAGCGCCGGCUAACUACGUG